UCAAUCCAAAUAAUAUUUCGUUUGUAAUUUUUUUUUCAUCAAACAAAAUAAUUAUUAGAAGGCUAGUCUAGUAUGCCUAGGCAGUACAGUGAAAUACCAUCGCCUGUCCUGUUAAAAUAAUGAAACUACUAACACGAGAGGAUUUGAGCCAUAUUUUAUACACUCAAUUGUUUUGAGCUGUGUACACUGUUUCAUUGAAAUAUUUUUCUGUUUGUUCAGGUUUUAACGUCUAAUAAAGGUAAUUCGUUGAAAAAGUUUAACAAACUGUGAGUGCGAAAGUGCGGGAAAAUGUAACGUAAGCGUCACGGUUUAAAUAUUAAGUGUACUAUCUAUGGCCUAUGGUCACGGUUCUUUCAGAAAGAAUUUUUUGGCGGGAACGCGAGGUGUGAAGUUGUGUGAUUUAUUUUGUCUAUUUAGUGUUUCUUCAGGUUUAAAUGUGUAAUAAUGGUGGUUUAUUACCGUUUAGUAUCUGUGAAAGUGCACAAAUGUGAGGAAAUGAAACAAAGCCGCUGAACGUAACUUCUCGGGAUCCUCCAAAAAGUCCACUGAAAAAAUUUCAGUAAAUGUUUAUUUUACUGAGAUUAUAUUUCAUCCCAUAUCAUCUCAAUUCAUUUCAUUUAAUUUCAUCCCAAUUGAUUAGUGUCUCAAAUUAAUCAUCUUCAUUUCAUUCCACUCCAUAAUAUCAUUUUUCAUAAAAAUAUGAAUAAUAUAAAUUAAAAUAAGACUUAAAAGACUCAGUUACCCGGUCAUAAAAUCUCAUAAAAAAACAAAAAUGUGAUAGGUAGGUACCGUCUCAAAUAUAUUAAGUGUUUAUUCUAUGGGUACCGUACCUACAUAAAUUGAUUCCUAUUCAUUGGUUCAACUCUUUUUAAAAAAAAUCAUAAUCACAAGGAUUCUUAUUAAAAUAGACUAAUAAUGUAAAAGUGAGUACCUACCUAUAUAUAUAGGAAGCAAAAAUUCUAUGACAUCCUUCGAUCAACAAUAGUAACUAGAUUUCGGGUCGGUGCAUAAAAUCCGUCUCGUCAAAUAACAGCGCACUUGAAAUGUGAGCUCUUAUUUUGUUUAGUUCACUUCAAACACAGCCAAUGUCAACCCGUCUCACAAUACCGCAGUGUGUAUUCAAAAGUUGCAAAAAUAAGGCCCGAAAAAGCAAUUUAACGGCCGGAGUAUCUUACUUUCGCUUUCCUAGCAAUCACGUGUGCAGAAUGGAUCUCGAUUGUCGCCAGAGAAACAAGAGAUGACUUUUAUAAGCCAGCUAAGAACUCCGCUUAUUGACACUGGACAUCUUUGCCUUCCGUGCUCACGGCUACUGAAAUGUGGCCGAAACAUUGUAAUAAAAUUACCACGCUUGAAACCGUUUAAA